GAAGUGCUGCUUCGAGGGUGAGAAGAUCUCAAAGAAAUACCUAGAUUGUACUCUGGUGGAAGUAAGAAAAGGCUCCCAAAUCUCAGGCUCUGAGUUGCCAAAAUGGAAGUGAUUUCUUAUUCAUCAUUUUACUUCAGAGACUAACCUCCAACAGACCCUCAGCAAGUUGGGCUGCUGGUUUCCACCUGCCUAAAGUUCACUUCUAGC
rnacentral:lncRNA from 1 species